rnacentral:rRNA from 1 species
AGAGCGAACGCUGGCGGCAGGCUUAACACAUGCAAGUCGAACGAGAAAGUGGAGCAAUCCAUGAGUAAAGUGGCGACCGGGUGAGUAACACGUGACUAACCUACCUUCGAGUGGGGGAUAACCUCGGGAAACCGGGCUAAUACCGCAUAAAAUCUUUGGAUCGGAAGAACUGGAGAUCAAUGGAGCAAUUCGCUUGAAGAGGGGGUCGCGGCUGAUUAGCUAGUUGGCGGGUAAUGGCCCACCAAGGCUUUGAUCGGUAG